UUUUGGGGAGGGUUUUGACGGCUAGAAGAACCACCUCCAUAACCUUGGUUAUGAUAAUAGUUGCUUCUAGGUUGGAACCCUUGGUUCCCUUGGUAAUGUUGUUGUUGAUUUUGAGGGUGCGGUUGAUAAGGUUGUUGUUGUUGUUGUGGUCUCGGUUGAUAGUCCCGUUGAUUGGCCAUGUAGUUUACUUCGUCAAAACCGGGAGGUGGACAAAAUCCGGUGUCAUGUUCACCUUUACAA
rnacentral:lncRNA from 1 species